rnacentral:rRNA from 1 species
CGCGUAGGCGGGAAUGCAAGUCAGAUGUGAAAUCUGGGGGCUCAACCCCCAAACUGCAUUUGAAACUGUAUUUCUUGAGUGAUGGAGAGGCAAGUGGAAUUCCUAGUGUAGCGGUGAAAUGCGUAGAUAUUAGGAGGAACACCAGUGGCGAAGGCGACUUGCUGGACAUUAACUGACGCUGAGGCGCGAAAGCGUGGGGAGCAAACAG